rnacentral:tRNA from 1 species
GGUUAGAGCGCUAGAUUGUGGAUCUAGAGGUCCCCCGUUCGAACCGGGGUGGCUGUACCA